AGUCGUAACAAGGUUUCCGUAGGUGAACCUGCGGAAGGAUCAUUACCAAUCCAAAUUUACAUCUUAUCCUGUGAAUUUCAUUGAUUGUUUUUAACAUUUGGGUAGUUGUUUUUUUACUUACAAUACAAACUCUACUUUAUAGUGUAGUGGGUGUUGAAAGUAUAAAAACUACUACCCAAAUGUUUCCAGUAAAAAUUUACCCCUUUAAAUUCAAUAUAUAAACCCCAAGGUCUAUCUGUGAUAAUGACCUUUAAUAAAAACUUUACAACUUUUAGCGGUGGAUCUCUUGGCUCAU
rnacentral:misc_RNA from 1 species